GUAGGCCCGAGGUCAAGUUCUGGGAGUGGCCACUCAAGGUAAGAGGUGCCAGAGGCACCCGCCACUCCUGGUUCCAAAAGGGCUUGGCCUUAGGGCGGAGGA
rnacentral:ncRNA from 1 species